rnacentral:rRNA from 1 species
GAUCGAAAGGGGAAAUUCAAUCGCGUUUCGACAAAUAAUGUCGGAGUUUGACGUUCGCGUGACGAACGGCGUUCGCGUCGUUCGCGCCCUACGUUAAACUAAACCGACGUCGAACGCGUGCACUUUUCCCCUAGUAGGACGUCGCGAUCCGUUGGGCGUCUGUCUAAGACUCCGUGUGGAGCCCGUUUCGGGCGUUUAGGCGCUUAAUUCGGACCACGGAUGUUUUCCGACAGACUCGCUCGACGGUAAGCUAAAGGCGCGAGGCCGCUACUUUAAUAAGUUAGCGUUCGGCCCGUAGCAAGCACGUUUCGAGUUAGGCGGCGAUCGGACCUGGUGCCGGUUCCGCCCCUUAACGACUGUUGGUUGCGGUGUUCUCGAACAGACCUCGU